AGGCUCUUAGGGUUUCAUCUCCAUCGUUUUCGCCGCCCCCUUCCACCUUCUCAUUCACGGCUUGAUUCGUACGCCGUUGGUCUCUCAGUGCUUGAAGCAAGCACGCUUCUUUUGCAGAGGUAGCACGGCUUGAUUCAGUGCUCUCAUCGGAUGCAUGCAUGCAAAGUGCAAACCUUUCUACUACCAUAGAACCAGCCCAAUGCCAGCACCAGCACCAGCACCGCCACCCAGUGGACACCAACCGGACCCACCAAAACCGAAAGCCAACAACCUUAACAACGAAGCUCACAAACCAAAAAACAAGAAAACGAAACAAGACCGAAACGAAAAGCUGGGAGCCGUCAGCACCGCUACCCCCCUCUCCGACCUCCAUCCAUGUGAACGCCUGCACCCCAGAUCGGCUCAUCCACAAUGCACCUUCGAAAGCCUUCCGAAAAAACCUUCCUCUGUUUUCCUUGGACGAAACAGGGCACCAUGCACCUCAGUAUGCAUCGUCCCUUCCUCGGUUCUCCUUGGCUAAAUAGAUCCACCCAUGCACAUCAGUGUGCAUCCAACCCUUCCUUCUGUUUGAACCGGCGAGAGUACAUUCCAACGUGCAUGUCUUCCUUCAUACAUCUGAGAGCUAACGCCACACAUACGGUCGGAAACACCGGACAGGUUCGUGGAUUUUCAACCACCCAUAACCAUGGCCAUAGGAAGCCGAGAUCCUCCUCCUCCAUCGAGCUAAAUCUCCCCGAACAGCUGCGUGAUUUGUUAUGGAGGACGACUCGGGAACCAAGCCGGGUGGUGGUUUUUCAACCCACCAAAAUUACAGCCCACUACUUUUAUUAACAAAACCAAAACCAAAACUCAGGAAAAUAGAGAGAAACUGGGAAGCAAGGAAACAAAAAACCAGAAAAUAGCAAAACAAAAACAGAAUAAAGAGAGAGAGAGAGGAGGGAGGGAGGAGCCGAGCCUCGGAUGGUUUCCUGAACUUGUUUCCUAUAGAAAAGGGAGAGUUUCUCUCGUAUUCAUAUAUAGCAUUUAAGAAGCCAAAACAGCAUCCAAUUCGAAAAAAUCGACCCGUUGGAAAAUAUUAUGCCCUGCUUCCUUCAAGCCUUUUUUUCCUGUGCCAAAAACAAGCAAUUUCUCUAAUCUUAUACAAAGAUGUUUAGUCCGAGAAACGCAGUUGAAAAUGGGCAAAACGCGGAUUUUAUAUUCAGCCCCAGGUUCAAGUCUGUAGCUGCCAUGUCCGGUUGGGAUGCAGAGAGCCUUUUGGCUGCGAGUCUCGUGGAGGACACCCCCGAUCGACAAUCAAAGUGCUGGAAACUCUCCGAUUCACAGUUCAAGUCCCCACCCAGCAACUCAAGAAGGUACAAUGCCCACAAAUCCAACCCCAUUUUAACACCUUUCGUCUUUAUUUUCUUUUUUGCUUUAAUUCCAGACUUUUUAUAUUUGGUUUGAUUGGUGGGAAGUUUAUAUUAACGGCUACAUGUUUAUGAAAAUUUACAUCCCUUGAUUGAUCUUCCAGAAAAUCAUUCUGUUCAUAAUCAUUCUUCUAUUUUAUGGAAACUUUCUAAAAUUUCAUUGUAUAGCUUUUUGUUCCAUUCUUGUAGUAUGAUAAUAUAGGAUCUAUUUCUCAAACCUUCAACUUUAAAUGAAUAUGGUAUCAAAGCAAUUUUGAUCCUGUUAUUCUUCUUUUCCUCACAUUGAUUUGCUCUUCUUCUUCCUAUUUCCUAUGACAAAUUCACACGUGUCCGUCAAAAACUCUUUUGCGACUACCAUAUACCAUUAGUCCAUACUAUCUUUAUUAUUUAGAUCAUCUAGGAUUUAUUUUAGUUUCCCGUUCAUUAACUUUGGAUAAUUAUUCCACCUGGAGUCGAGCCAUGCGAAUGGCUUAAGUGUAAAAAAUAAAUUGGAUUUUAUAGACCAAAUAAUUACUAAACCAGACCCAACCAAGUAUCUAGAUGAAUUUGCAUCAUGACAACGAUGCAAGGACAUCGUUCUUUUUUGGAUUCUCAAUUUAUUUGAUGCCAAUCUUGCCACUAGUGUCACCUACAUUGAUUCUGCCUCUAAUUUAUGGGUUGACUUGAAAGAAAAUUUUUCUCAAAGUAACGCUCUGCUCCUUUAUCAAAUCCAACGGGCCAUUUCUUUCUUACGACAAGACGAGUCUUCUAUGAUAGUUUAUUUUAACAAGUUUAAGGAGUAUAGGGAUGAGUUGACAUCUUAUUCACCAUUACCUCCAUGUAAUUGUGGGGGCAAUGAAAACUCUCCAUGACCGUGAUCAAGAAGAAAAAGUUCUUCAAUUCCUUAUGGGACUCCACGACUCCUAUACUGUUAUUCGUGGACAGAUUUUGCUAAUGAAUCCUCUCCUUCCUCUUCAUAGAUCUUAUGCCCUAGUCCUCAAAGAAGAAAACCAACGAGAGAUCACCAAUUCUCUAUAUAGUUCUGAUAGCAUGACCCUUGCUGUGAAUCAAUCUUUUUUGAGGUCACAUUAUGCCUCAAAUUCCAAUAGGAAUGGUCAAGUCGUGGAAAACGUAAAGAUUAAACAUGUGAUUAUUGUCGCAAAUUUGGACUUUCUGGACUUGGUCACUCCAUUGAUCGAUGCUAUGAGAAGAUGGCUUAGCACCAAGAACACAUUUGGUGGAAGUAUCACCAUUUGAUUUAUGCAAACGAUGGCCCGAUGGAUAACUGUGUAAUCGAUAACAUCGAUCAAUGGAGUGACCAAGUCCAGGAAGUCCAAGUUUGCGACAAUGAUUACAUGUUCGAUCUUUACCUUUUCCACGACCCCAACCAUUCCCAUUGGAAUUUGAGGCAUAACUUAAUCUCGAAAAAGAUAGAUUCAUAGCAAGGGUCAUGCCAUCAGAACUAUGGAGAGAAUUGGUAAAUCUAAUUUGGUUUUCUUCUUGGAGGACUAGUGCCUAAGAACUAUGAAGAGGAGGGAGAUGAUUUAUCAGUAAAAUCUGUCCACGGACAGCAGCAUAGGAGUCGUAGAGUCCCAUAAGGAAUUGAAGAACUUUUUCUUCCUUAUCACAAUCAUGGAGAGUUUUCAUUGCCCCACAAUUACAUGGAGGCAAUGGUGAAUAAGAUGUCAACUCAUCCCAAUACCCAUUCAGCUUGCUCAAAUAAACUGCUACAGAAAACUGGUCUUGUAGUAAGGAAGAAAUGACCCGUCAAAUUUGAUAAAGGCGUAGAGCGUUACUUUGAGAAAAUCUUUAUUUCAAGUCGGCCCAUAAAUCAGAGGCAGAAUCAGUGUAAGUAACACUAGUGGUAAGAUCAACAUCGACUGAAUUGAGAAUCCAAGAUAGAACCAAGUCAUUGCAUCGUUGCCAUGAUGCAAAUUCAUCUUGGUACUUGGUUGGGUCUGGUCUAGCAAUUAUUUGGUCUAUAAGACCCAAUUUAUUUUUUACACUUAAGGUCAUUCGCAUGACUCAACUCCAAGUGGAAUAAUUUUUCCCAGUUAAUGAACAGGAAACUAAAAUAAUGCCUAGAUGAUCUGAACUAUGAAGAUGGUAUGGACUGAUGGUAUGGUUAGUUGCAGAAGAGUUUUCGAGAGACACAUAUGGAUUUGCCAUGGGAAAUAGGAAGAAGAAGAAUGUGAGAAAAGAAGAAUAACAGGAUCAGAAUUGCUCUAAUGCCAUAUUCAUUGAAAGUUAAAGGUUUGAGAAACAAAUCCCAUAUGAUCAGACUACAAGAAGGAAACAAAAAGCGAUAUAGGGAAAUUUUAGAAACCUUCUAUAAGAGAGGAGAAUGGUUCUGGACAAAGUGAUUUACAGGGAGAUAAAUCAGGGGAAGUAAAUUCCCAUAAACGUGUAGCCGUUAACAUGAACUUCCCACUUAUCAAACCAAAUAUAAAAAAAAUCUUGGAAUUAAAGCAAAAAAGAAAAUAAAGACGAAAGGUUUUAAAAUGGGGUUGGAUUUCAUGUGAGCAUUGUACCUUUUUUAAUUUCUGGGUGGGGUCUUGAACUGUGAAUCGAAGAGUUUCUGGAACUUCGAUUGUCGAUUAGGGGUGUCCUCCCCGACAAGACUCGCAACCAGAAGGCUCUCUUCAUCCCAACCAGCCAUGGUAGCCACAUACUUGAAUCUGGGGCUAAAUAAUCCGCGUUUUGCCCAUUUUCAAUUGCAUUUCUCAAUCUCUCACCGUGGGAUUGUGGUCCGCCGAUGUUGUGUAACUUGUUAUAGUUACAAGAGAAAUUCUAUUUGCAUUAAAUGAAAAAAAAAAAAAAAGAUUAUUUUGAGAGGGAUAUUUUUAUAAUUUUAAAAAGAGAAAUUUUACUUAUCAUCCUUUACACUACAUAUCAAUAUAUGGUUUGUCAUUUUUAUUAUUUUAUUUAAACAAAUAUAUUUAUAUAAAAUAAUAAUAUAUACAAGUUUUAAAUGUACAAAUCUCACUGCAUGCAUUUUAUGAAAGGGCAUUACUACACUCACUCAGAGCUGAUUUCGAGAAAAGUCUCCAAUGGUGAAAAUCAUUCCAAGAACCACAGCUUUGCUAACAGAAUCCUGCAUUCAAGUGACAUUAUUUACAGGUGAAAAGUUGUAAUGAUGGGAAGGAGCAAAACUUUAUACAGUUGUAUCUGUGGCGUUUAUAGGAGGCUGGGUCCUUUUUUUCAUGUGUUGGGGCCAUAUUGUGACAUUUAGUUGACAUUUUUGAGCAACUUGUCUUAAAAUCAAUGGAGGAAAGCCGCUUGUCUUCCCAUUGGGAGCAGAGUGUGGGCUUGUGAAGUGUGCUCUUAGCAGAGAAGAAUGUUAUAGUUUGGGAUUGUAGAUAUCUUAUUUGUAACAUUUGUAGAAAGUUUGAAACCAACCCUCACGCCUACCAAGAUGCUUUUAUUUGUAGUGUAUUUAAGAGUCCCUCUUUAGCUGUUUUUGAAGUUCCAAUCUUUGCAACAUAGUGAAUCAUGGUUUUAUUGGGAGAAAACUUGGAAAUACCACUCUGCUUUUACCAAUAUUAUUCUUUAACUCAGUGUGAAUAGACUAAAUGAUACUACGCCACUUUUGUUUAUGGAAAUUGAACAAAAAAUAUGUUUUCUUUGAGCACCUUGACAUUUUCUUUUAUUCUGUAUAUUAGUCAUUUGUCUGAUCCCAAGUCUAAAACUUCAUCUGCUGAAUGGUAGGAAGUGUUGUUUUUUACAGGUGGGAGGUGUGGGAAGGAAAAAUUAGCUUUGGAUCUUUUCACUGGUUUAUUAAUCUCUCCUCCCGUUUUUCCUCGUUAAAGGUGGUAAGGGUUCUAAGAGUCAAUCCCUUACUUGUUACAGCACUCACUGCAGUUAUUUUGGUAUGCUUGGUUCACCCAGCACUAGGACUCUGUGCAGGUAAUGUUCAAGUUUAAAUUCCUUCUUGGUUUUCUUAUGGUGUGAUGUGUCAAUCAUUGAAAUAAAGACGUGAGCUUCAAAUUUGUGGAUUUGGUUAACUGCCAA